GAUGAACGCUGGCGGCGUGCCUAACACAUGCAAGUCGAGCGAAGAGACGAGGAGCUUGCUCUCCUAACGUUAGCGGCGAUCGGGAGAGUAACACGUGGGUAACAUACCUAUACAACUGGGAUAAUUUAGGGGAACCGCAGCUAAUACCGGCUAAUAUAUCGAAACGAGUGGUCCAGUCGUGAAAGACUUUUUUGGAGAUACUUAUAGAGGGAUCGGAGCCGCCUUAGCUAGUUGGUCAGGUAACGGCUUACCAAGGCAACCAAGGGUAGCCGAGCUAACAGGGUGAUCGGCCACACUGGAAGUGAGGCACGGUGCAGACUCCUACGGGAGGCAGCAGUAGGGAAUCUUCCGCAAUGGGCGAAAGCCUGACGGAGCAACGCCGCGUGAGUGAUGAAGGUCUUCGGAUGGUAGAGCUCUGUUAUUAGGGAAGAACAAAUGUGUAAGUAACUAUGCACGUGUUGACGGUACCUAAUCAGAAAGCCACGGCUAACUACGUG
rnacentral:rRNA from 1 species